AUUGAACGCUGGCGGCAGGCCUAACACAUGCAAGUCGAGCGAGCGGCGGACGGGUGAGUAAUGUAUGGGGACUGCCCGAUAGAGGGGGAUAACUACUGGAAACGGUAGCUAAUACCGCAUACUAUCGGAUAACCCAUAUGGGAUUAGCUCGUAGGGGAGGUAAUGGCUCACCUUGGCGACGAUCCGUAGCUGGUUUGGGAGGACGACCAGCCACACGGGGACUGUGACACGGCCCAGACUCCUACGGAGGCAGCAGUGGGGAAUAUUGCACAAUGGGCGCAAGCCUGAUGCAGCCAUGCCGCGUGUAUGAAGAAGGCCUUAGGGUUGUAAAGUACUUUAAGGCGGGAGGCGUUACCGACAGAAGAAGCACCGGCUAACUCCGUGCCAGCAGCCGCGGUAAUUC
rnacentral:rRNA from 1 species